rnacentral:lncRNA from 1 species
AAAAUGCAAUAAAUUCUUAAAAAAAUAGCUAAAGAAAUAAUAAAAUCAAAACCGAGCUCUAAAAACCUAAAAUUUAAAACUAUAAACCCUAAAUCCAAAACUCUAAACCAUAAAUAUUAAAUCCUAAAAUUUGAACUCUAAACAUAAAACCCUAAAUCCUGAAAUCUAAACCUAAAUCUUAAACCCUAAACCCAAAAUUCUAAACCAUAAACCCUAAACCCUAAAUAUUAAUCACUAAAUUCUAAACCUUAAACCUAACAAAUCAAUCUUAACCCUAAACCUAAAUUCUAAAUCCUAAACCCUAAACUUAAAAUUCUAAACCCCAGAACCCUAAACUCCAAAUCCUGAAC